UAAACGAGCACUGCCUUAGCUAAGUUUGGGAAAAUGGCGGACGACGAACCGAUUAUGGUUGAAGGGAAAACUUUAGGUGAACUUCGGGUCGUAGAUCUAAAAAAAGAGCUUGAAGCACGAGGACUAUCAAAGAGUGGCAGCAAGGGACAGUUAAUUGCAAGAUUAAAGGCGCAAUUGCAGUUAGAAAAACUACAGAAUGUACCUGUUGAUACUGAAAACAAGGCACCAAACUUAGAACUUCAAAAUGAUGAAGUUGCUGGUCAAAGUUCCUUUAUUAAGGAAUACCUUGCAAGACAACAGAAAGCACUGGAUAUGCAAAUAGAAGCUAAAAAGAAAUUGGAAGAAGAAGAACGCAGAAAAUCUACCGAAGAUGAAGGUGAAUCGGAGACGGACGAUAUGCAGACAGCUGAAAAAUCGGCAAGCGGCGAAAAACCGGAAAUAGUACCGGUGCAGGACGUGACGUCAAAACACGAGAAGGCUGAAGACACGGAAAACGCACCUGCGACGGGUGAAAAAGAAGUUGAAGACAUGGCGAGACGUAGAAGUAAAACAAAUAAUGCAGAACCUAGCAGUCCAAACAAAGUAGAUACCAACAAUAUUGGAGAUGAAGUGAUAUCUGCAAAAAAAAGUAAUGAAAAAGCAGUCAAAUCUAGAUCACCAUCACCCAACAACAACCGAUCAAGGAGUAGAAGAAAAUUAGCAGAAGAACAUGUAACUAGGCAGAAACUUAACCAAACUCCUGAACCAAGCAAACAUACAUUGAAGGAGGAGAAAAGAAAUGGAAAAGAAAAAGAAAAAACAGUGGAAGGAAGUGAAAGUAAAAAGGAAGAAGGCAUGCGGGAAACUGAUGAAGUAGCAGAUGACAAGAAAUUGACUUCAGAUUCUAAAAAUGUUGAACCUUCACAUCAGCCUGAACCUAAACUGAAAGAUCCAGAGGCUGGUGUUGAAGAUAACAAAGAAAUCACCCCAGAAGUGGUAAAGUCCAAGAGGAAUCGCUGGAAUAAGGGACCCAUUGAAGAAAGUAAAGAAACACCAAAGAAAGUUUCUACUUCUUUAUCAGAAAAAGAUGUUGAUAAGGAAGAAAAAGAAUCAUCUUCUAGGCCUCGUAGAUUAAAUAGAAUUGAAGAAGAUAAAGAUAAACCAGUUGAAAAAGAAAUUGAUAAAGAAGAUAAACAUUCUAAGAGACCCAGUCGCUCCUCUAGAGAUUCAUUGGGAAACAUAGAAGUAUCUACAGAUACUUCUACUAAAGAAUCUUCUAAAAGUACAGAAAAUGAAGUUCCUUUAAAAGAAAAACGUUCAUCAAAAGAAAACCUUAAAGUCGCAGAAAAAUCUUUAGGGGACAAGACAGAGCAUUCUUCUAAAUUCACCGAAUCCAAAGCAGAUUCAAAAUCUAGAGAUGGAAACAAAUCCGAAAAAGCUGAAGAAAAAACUCCUAAAUCUGUACUGACUGCAAAACUGGACGAAAGUAAGGAAAAUCCAAAAAUAGAGAAAAGCAGAUCUUAUACACCAACAGAAUCAAAAUCAAAAGAGAAAGAAUAUGCCUCUAGGAGGAUCUCAAGGUCUAAAAGCUCUGAUUCGUCAGAUGAUAACAGUAAAUCUAGAUCUCGGUCCAGAGAUCGGUCUCGUUCUGGCUCACGUGAUCGAUCACCAUCUUCCUCUAGUUCAUCUAAUUCCAGUAGUUCUUCAGAUUCUUCUGAUGAUGAAACACCAGUAAAAAAAGGCCCAAAAGGGUCAGUAGUGUCAGUAAAGAAAACUGGUCGGCAGUCUCCAUUGUCAGAAAAAUCUGCAUCACCAUCACCUGAACCACAGCCAAAGACAGCAAAAAUUGCAGCAGUGACAAAAUCUAGUCCCGAGCGAAGUGUAAUGAAAGAAGAAUCAGGAUCACCAAUAAAAGACAUUGAUAAGGAUAAGCAGGCUUCUGAUAAAGAAAAAGGUGAAAGAAAGGAGGUUAAAAUGGAGGUUGAUGAUGUGGUUAGUCCAACAGUAGAUGCAAUUAAAAAGAUAGGUCAAGUGUUGGCAGCGCACCACAACAAAUGGGCUUCUUGUAGAAACAUGUAUCUCAUACCCCAUGAUGAUCCUAGUACGGUACCCAUAAGCUAAUUACCAUGAUGAAAUUCCUGAAAGGUUCCUAGAGGAUAAAAUCUUAUAGAUGGAUGGAAGUCUUCGAAGUGAGAACACAAAAUGCAUCAGGAUCCAAGUAGUGCUAAGCAAGCUGGAUCAAAAGUGACAAAACAUCCAAUAAUAUUUGACACAAUCUGGGAAAUGAACAAUUUUAUUUUCCCCAGGAUUUCUCUUUUGGAUGAAAAUCACUUUGAAUAUACUUGGUUUACUUUGAAAUUGUGGUUCCUGAAGAUUGCCAUUGAAUAUUGAUGUAAUAACAAUGUUCUGGAUGUUCAUAAAAACUAACAUUCAAUUAGUAUUAGUGUAAUCAACUAUGUUCCUGAAUGCUGCCAUUCGGUCAGUGCUGAGGUGAUCGGUUAUGUCCCACAGGUUCCUAAAAAUACUAACAUUCAAUAGGUAUUGACAUAAUCAACUAUUCCAAUCAAUCAUUAAUGAAGUGGAUCCUGAUAUGCUGGCAUUGACUAUGUUCCAGACAGUACCGAAAAAUCAGCAUUGAUGUAAUCAGCGUUCUGAAAAAUACUGACAUUCAAUCAGUAUUGAUGUAAUAUGUUGUGUUCCAGGCAUUCCCCAAAAAUACUGACAUUCAAUCAGUCAUGUUCCUGAUGUUCCUGAAAAAUACAAACAUUCAAUCAGCCAUGUUCCUGCUGUUCCAAAAAAUACUGACAUUCAAUCAGUGUUGAUGUAAUACGCUGUGUUCCAGGCAUUCCCCAAAAAUACUGACAUUCAAUCAGCCAUGUUCCUGAAAAAUACAAACAUUCAAUCGGCCAUGUUCCUGCUGUUCCUGAAAAAUACUGACAUUCAGUCAGUCUUGAUGUGAUCAGCUAUGUUCGUGCUCUUCCUGAAAAAUACUGAUAUUCUUUUAGUAUUAUUGUAAUACUACUGAAAUUCAAUCAGUAUUGAUGUAAUAAGCUGUGUUCCAGAAGUUCUGAAGAAUACUGACAUUCAAUCAGCCAUGCUCCUGAUAUUUUUGAAAAAACUGACAUUCAAUCAAUCUUGGAUGUUCUGGAUGUUGUAAAUGCUGUGUUGGCAUUUAAUCAGUGUACUCAGUUAUAUUCCAGAUGUUCGUGAAUGCUGAAAGAAGCUUGAUGCUGUGAUACUCAUCGUGAAGUGCCAUCAGCAUUUAAUGUUGUGAUUAGAAGAUUAAUAUGAACUGUUAGAGUAUUGUGGAUGGAGUGAAUCGCAAAUAUGCAGUUAACCUUUUUAUGUGACAUAAACAUACAAAACUUAUCCUUUCAGUGACGAUGUUGUGAUUUAGGAAAAAUUGUUUUAUGAUAAACAAAGUGGUUAGUGAAUUGUCGCAAAUUGAAGAUACUUUAAUAGUGAUCAGAUCGAUUUGUGAAAAUAUAUUUGAUAUAAACAUUGUGUCGACAACAGCAACUUCUCCAAACGAAUAGUGCUUGAAGUGGUUUGAUAAUUUUCUUUAAAAGUGAUCUUGAAAAAUAGACUUUGAACACAAAUGUUUUCUGAAGAUGCAAGAUAUUCCACCAGUUUAUUAAAUGAACUAAACCAAAAUCAGCUGUUACUGAUUUCGACUGUAGACCCAUAUAAUUGACUUUAGAUUGUUACUGCCCACAACCACUUGAUGACAGAUGUUGGUGUGAUAUGUAGUGUAUUUUGGUAUUUAAUCCACAUCAUUAUCCCCCUUUGGACAGGAAUUAUUUUUAAUCUUAAUAUUAAGAGUAUACAAAGUGCCUUAAUUUUUCUUCAGAAUACUUGAGUCCCGGAAAACAUCUUUAAGUAAUUUUAAAUAUUUAUCCUUUGAAAAUAAAAUCAUUGCUGUUAAAGCCUCAGAUAUUAUAUGUUGAUUACCUAUUCUUACUCCUUUGUCAUUAAGUCCCUUCCCUAUUUUUCAGGUUGAUGCUAAACCUAAAGAAACAUAUGUACCUAAAUUGUUACGAAGAAAAUCCCUAAGAACAACUGAAGAAGAGGGCAUCAAGAAGGAAGAAGAGACUGGAGAACCAAAGGAGGAAGAAAGGAAAGAAAAACCAAUAAAGAAAAGGAAA